UGGGGAAUUUGGACAAUGGGCGAAAGCCUGAUCCAGCAAUGCCGCGUGUGUGAAGAAGGCCUUCGGGUUGUAAAGCACUUUUGUCCGGAAAGAAAUCCUUGGCUCUAAUACAGUCGGGGGAUGACGGUACCGGAAGAAUAAGCACCGGCUAACUACGUGCCAGCAGCCGCGGUAAUACGUAGGGUGCAAGCGUUAAUCGGAAUUACUGGGCGUAAAGCGUGCGCAGGCGGUUUGCUAAGACCGAUGUGAAAUCCCCGGGCUCAACCUGGGAACUGCAUUGGUGACUGGCAGGCUAGAGUAUGGCAGAGGGGGUAGAAUUCCACGUGUAGCAGUGAAAUGCGUAGAGAUGUGGAGGAAUACCGAUGGCGAAGGCAGCCCCUGGCCAAUACUGACGCUCAUGCACGAAAGCGUGGGGAGCAAACAGGAUUAGAUACCCUGGUAGUCCACGCCCUAAACGAUGUCAACUAGUUGUUGGGGAUUCAUUCCUUAGUAACGUAGCUAACGCGUGAAGUUGACCGCCUGGGGAGUACGGUCGCAAGAUUAAAACUCAAAGGAAUUGACGGGGUCAUAGCUGUUUCCU
rnacentral:rRNA from 1 species